CAUACCACCCUGAGAACGCCCGAUCUCGUCUGAUCUUGGAAACUAAGCAGGGUCGGGCACGGUUAGUACUUGGAUGGGAGACCGCC
rnacentral:rRNA from 1 species